AUUGAACGCUGGCGGCGUGCCUAACACAUGCAAGUCGAGCGGUAACAGGUGUAGCAAUACAUGCUGACGAGCGGCGAACGGGUGAGUAAUGCUUCGGAAUCUACCCAAUGGUGGGGAAUAACCAGCCGAAAGGUUGGCUAAUACCGCAUACGUCCCACGGGAGAAAGCAGGGGAUCGCAAGACCUUGCGCCAAUGGAUGAGCCGAAGUCGGAUUAGCUAGUUGGAGGGUAACGGCCUACCAAGGCGACGAUCCGUAGCUGGUCUGAGAGGACGACCAGCCACACUGGGACUGAGACACGGCCCAGACUCCUACGGGAGGCAGCAGUGGGGAAUAUUGGACAAUGGGGGAAACCCUGAUCCAGCGACGCCGCGUGUGUGAAGAAGGCCUGCGGGGUUGU
rnacentral:rRNA from 1 species